CUACGUGCCAGCAGCCGCGGUAAUACGGAGGGUCCAGGCGUUAUCCGGAUUUAUUGGGUUUAAAGGGAGCGUAGGCGGAUUAUUAAGUCAGUGGUGAAAGACGGUGGCUCAACCAUCGUUAGCCAUUGAAACUGGUAGUCUUGAGUGCAGACAGGGAUGCUGGAACUCGUGGUGUAGCGGUGAAAUGCUUAGAUAUCCUGAAGAACUCCGAUCGCGAAGGCAGCCAUCCGGAGCGUAACUGACGCUGAGGCUCGAAGGUGCGGGUAUCGAACAGGAUUAGAUACCCUGGUAGUCCGCACGGUAAACGAUGGAUGCCCGCUGUUAGCGCCUGGCGUUAGCGGCUAAGCGAAAGCAUUAAGCAUCCCACCUGGGGAGUACGCCGGCAACGGUGAAACUCAAAGGAAUUGACGGGGGCCCGCACAAGUGGUGGAGCAUGUGGUUUAAUUCGACGCAACGCGAGGAACCUUACCAGACCUUGACAUCGC
rnacentral:rRNA from 1 species